UUCACGGAGAGUUUGAUCCUGGCUCAGGACGAACGCUGGCGGCGUGCUUAACACAUGCAAGUCGAGCGAGGCCCCUCCUUCGGGAGGGUGCCCUAGCGGCGAACGGGUGAGUAACACGUGGGCAACCUGCCCCUAGCACUGGGAUAACUCCGGGAAACCGGGGCUAAUACCGGAUAUGACCUCUGAGGGCAUCCUCUAAGGUGUAAAGGAUUC
rnacentral:rRNA from 1 species